UCCUCAAUGGUCUAGUGGUCAUGAUUUCCGCUUGUCAAGCCUCACAGCUCUACAAGCGCGGGAGAGUAAGCACCACCGCCAACCAUUGCCUGAUUACCAAUCAUGCUAACGGAUGUUGCAGCCAGGGUUCGAUUCCCUGUUGGGGAG